UACGUAGGGGGCAAGCGUUGUCCGGAAUUACUGGGCGUAAAGCGCCUGUAGGCGGGAGCGUGCGUCGGACGUGAAAGGCGGGGGCUUAACCCCCGAGCCGGCGUUCGAAACGGCGUUUCUUGAGGGUCGAAGAGGAGCGUGGAAUUCCUGGAUGUAGCGGUGAAAUGACGCAGAUAUCAGGAGGAACACCAAUGGCGAAGGCAGCACUCUGGGACGUGACUGACGCUGAGACGCGAAAGCGUGGGGAGCAAACAGG
rnacentral:rRNA from 1 species